rnacentral:rRNA from 1 species
UACGAAUAAGGAUCGGCUAACUCCGUGCCAGCAGCCGCGGUAAUACGGAGGAUCCAAGCGUUAUCCGGAUUUAUUGGGUUUAAAGGGUGCGUAGGCGGUUUGAUAAGUUAGAGGUGAAAUACCGGGGCUCAACUCCGGAACUGCCUCUAAUACUGUUGAACUAGAGAGUAGUUGCGGUAGGCGGAAUGUAUGGUGUAGCGGUGAAAUGCUUAGAGAUCAUACAGAACACCGAUUGCGAAGGCAGCUUACCAAACUAUAUCUGACGUUGAGGCACGAAAGCGUGGGGAGCAAACAGGAUUAGAUACCCUGGUAGUCCACGCAGUAAACGAUGAUAACUCGUUGUCGGCGAUACACAGUCGGUGACUAAGCGAAAGCGAUAAGUUAUCCACCUGGGGAGUACGUUCGCAAGAAUGAAACUCAAAGGAAUUGACGGGGGCCCGCACAAGCGGAGGAACAUGUGGUUUAAUUCGAUGAUACGCGAGGAACCUUACCCGGGCUUGAAAGUUAGUGACGAUUCUGGAAACAGGAUUUCCCUUCGGGGCACGAAACUAGGUGCUGCAUGGUUGUCGUCAGCUCGUGCCGUGAGGUGUCGGGUUAAGUCCCAUAACGAGCGCAACCCCUACCGUUAGUUGCCAUCAGGUCAAGCUGGGCACUCUGGCGGGACUGCCGGUGUAAGCCGAGAGGAAGGUGGGGAUGACGUCAAAUCAGCACGGCCCUUACGUCCGGGGCUACACACGUGUUACAAUGGUAGGUACAGAGGGCCGCUACCCCGUGAGGGGAUGCCAAUCUCGAAAGCCUAUCUCAGUUCGGAUCGGAGGCUGAAACCCGCCUCCGUGAAGUUGGAUUCGCUAGUAAUCGCGCAUCAGCCAUGGCGCGGUGAAUACGUUCCCGGGCC